rnacentral:sRNA from 1 species
CACGAUAUGGGUAUCGACAGGUGGCACU